UUCAUUUUGUUAUUUUAGAGGAGAAAAGUUGAAGAGCUUAUUAUAUAUAAGGUGUAAAAUGGAAUAAUUUUUGUAGUGCAUAUAUAUAGAGAAAGUGAGAUCAGAUUUGCAUGAGCGUUAGAGUAUGUAUUAAAGCAAAUAAUUAAUAUUGAGUAAUGCUAGGGAACCAAAAGUAUAUCAGCCAAAACCUAGUUAAAUGUGUUUGUGUUGGGACUUAAAAGCACAAUGCACAUUCAGCAUCAUCCAAAAAUAUUCAGGAAAAAUUAUAUUUAUCCUCACCAAAAAUCCUAUUUCCUUUUUACCGUUUUACCACACAGAAUUUAAAAAUUAUCUACACCUGCGCCACGCCUCCGGAACCAUCGCGCAACCCUCUUCUCUCUCUUUUUCGGACACCGCGACGCCGCUCUCAGCGGCUCUGGCCAUCGAGACUCCACUGAAGCUACCUAAGCGCAACCCUCUUCCCUCACUUCUUCAGCCGCUUCGACGUCGCACCUAGCCUCCCCGACCAUUGCGCCUCCAAAAUCGGAACAAGAGCAACGCUGCUCUGUUGUUGCAUGUGGGUUUUUUCCGGCGCUGUCGAAGCUUCCUGGUGCAGCUGCGCUGUCCGUCGGUGGACCUCCACUUCUCCAGCCUUGAAUUUUCAUGUUCGUCUUGCUAAUUGUUGUACAGAUCAGGUAACACAAUUUUGGAAUAUCACUGGUCCUUGACAAAUAUAGCAGCUGCAUGUGUUUUCUGUUUUUGGAGUGUUGCAAAAUCUUGAAUACAAUGUAAUUUUCUGGUUCUCAUUCUUUUACGGGGUCACAAAUUGACUUGAGUUUUCUUUGGGAGAAAAAUAAAAAGCAGCUCCCAACUGGUUCAUUAUGUAUAUGCCAUCCAUCUCUACGUGUCAACAGGAAUAAGAAACUACAAUGCAACUUUCUUGACGCAACUGUAACAUUGAUUUAAAAGGUUUAUCAUUUCAUGUUGCUGAUUUUCUCAAGUUGGUGGUGACAAUCAAUCGUAAACCUCUGAGUGGAUGGUUCUGGAUAUGUUUUGUGUUUUAUCAUGUUUAAGGCAUUUGAACUUGUUAGUACUUCGUUGAUGAGUAAGUGGCUCAUGUUUUGUUAGAUACUCGUCAGCAGGUUUCAUAUAUUAGUUAUUUCAGAAUUCUCAAGCAAUAAUUUUCCAAGUUAGUGAUAAGCCAUUCAUUGCAUAUUGAUAAUAUUGAGUGAACUCUGAUCUGUGUAUAUAAUUCUUUUGGUCAUGUCUAUGCUUAAGUGGCACUUCUGUCCAUUAACUAGCGUGGUGUUAACUAAAAGGAGGUGUUCUUUAAUUUUUUUUAUCAUUGUUUUCUAGUGCUGGAAUUGUGAAGUUGCUGGAAAUUAAAGCAUUGCACAGCCUCCGGUCGUGAUCAGGCUAUAGUAGGUAAGAUUUUAAGUGGAUGGUGUCUCUGGUAGGCACGCGGAUGUUUCUUCUCAUUGUAAAGUGGAUGGUUUUGUAUAUGAUUUCUUUGUUUCAUGUGUUACGUAUUAGCGACUGCAUGCACUUCAUUGAGAUAUCAAUACGUUUUGUAAAAUCCUAUGAUGAUAAAUCUAGAAAUGAUAUUUGAACUUUAGAAAA